UGGUACAGAGAUAAGCCAAUGUACAGCACAUUGCAGAAGUGCAACCUUGAGAUUAUCAUUUCAUGCACCACCAUCUUUAGAUCCU
rnacentral:snoRNA from 11 species